rnacentral:rRNA from 1 species
UACGUAGGGGGCUAGCGUUGUCCGGAAUCAUUGGGCGUAAAGAGCGUGUAGGCGGUCCGGUAAGUCCGCUGUGAAAGUCGGGGGCUCAACCCUCGAAUGCCGGUGGAUACUGUCGGGCUAGAGUGCGGAAGAGGCGAGUGGAAUUCCUGGUGUAGCGGUGAAAUGCGCAGAUAUCAGGAGGAACACCGGUGGCGAAGGCGGGUCUCUGGGCCGAUACUGACGCUGAGGAGCGAAAGCGUGGGGAUCAAACAGG